GUCCUCAUGGCCCUUAUGGGUAGGGCUUCACACGUCAUACAAUGGUCGGUACAGAGGGUUGCCAACCCGCGAGGGGGAGCUAAUCCCACAAAGCCGAUCGUAGUCCGGAUCGCAGUCUGCAACUCGACUGCGUGAAGUCGGAAUCGCUAGUAAUCGUGGAUCAGCAUGUCACGGUGAAUACGUUCCCGGGUCUU
rnacentral:rRNA from 1 species